rnacentral:ncRNA from 1 species
UCUUAUCCAGAGAGGUGGAGGGACUGGCCCUUUGAAGCCUCGGCAACAGCUUUAUAGCAUUGUGCCAAUUCCAGUAGCAUUUGCUUGAAGAUAAG